rnacentral:rRNA from 1 species
GUGAGGAAUAUUGGACAAUGGGCGCAAGCCUGAUCCAGCCAUGCCGCGUGCAGGAAGACGCAUCUAUGGUGUGUAAACUGCUUUUGUACGGGAAGAAACACUCCCUCGUGAGGGAGCUUGACGGUACCGUAAGAAUAAGGAUCGGCUAACUCCGUGCCAGCAGCCGCGGUAAUACGGAGGAUCCAAGCGUUAUCCGGAAUCAUUGGGUUUAAAGGGUCCGUAGGCGGUUUAAUAAGUCAGUGGUGAAAGCCCAUCGCUCAACGAUGGAACGGCCAUUGAUACUGUUAGACUUGAAUUACAAGGAAGUAACUAGAAUAUGUAGUGUAGCGGUGAAAUGCUUAGAUAUUACAUGGAAUACCAAUUGCGAAGGCAGGUUACUACUUGUGGAUUGACGCUGAUGGACGAAAGCGUGGGGAGCGAACAGGAUUAGAUACCCUGGUAGUCC